UCCCCCGUGGCGCAAUUGGAUAGCGCGUUAGACUGUUAAUCUAAAGGUUGGUGGUUCAAACCCACCCGGGGGAG
rnacentral:tRNA from 1 species